rnacentral:rRNA from 1 species
GUGUCAGCAGCCGCGGUAAUACGUAGGGCGCAAGCGUUAUCCGGAAUUAUUGGGCGUAAAGAGCUCGUAGGCGGUUUGUCGCGUCUGCUGUGAAAUCCCGAGGCUCAACCUCGGGUCUGCAGUGGGUACGGGCAGACUAGAGUGCGGUAGGGGAGAUUGGAAUUCCUGGUGUAGCGGUGGAAUGCGCAGAUAUCAGGAGGAACACCGAUGGCGAAGGCAGAUCUCUGGGCCGUAACUGACGCUGAGGAGCGAAAGGGUGGGGAGCAAACAGGAUUAGAAACCCUCGUAGUCC